CCCAUUUAAAUUUUAAAAUUAAAUAAACCCACAUAUUACCCACUAAACAAUAUAACGUUAAACACUUUCCCUUUCCCUUAGAUUUUCUAAGCCAAAACAUUCAGUCCUCUCACUCUCACUCUCCUAAACACUUUCCCUCAAAUUUUCUCAGUAACCAAACAAAAAAAAAAAAAAAAAUUUAUAUUCCGUAUCUCUCUCUCUCUCUUUCUCUGUCUCUCUUGCGUUGUGUUGCGUGUAAAGCUGUUUCUUUCUCUGAAGCUUCCCGAUUCAAUCCCUGAUCUCCGAUUCGCAAUCGGAACACAAUACUGCGGUGGCCGUUGAAUCAUUCAUCGGUAACUGACCUUAUUGACCGUUCAAAGAGAGAGGAAAUUCUACAAACGCAGGAAAAAAAAAGAAAAAGGAAAGAAGAAGCCAUCCUAAACAACAGGUAGCACUGAAAAAGCAGGACAAAAGAAGAAAAGCAUAAUCAAACAUUCAACAGCAAGAAAAAGACAAUACUCAAAAGUUCCAAAGUGCAAAUUUCAUGGGUUCAACGUUGAUCUUCAGCUUUGCAGGCAGAGGCAGGUUUCACAGCUGGUAGCUUCUUUGGGGUGGCUGGGCAAUGAGUAGAGACAGAGGCAUCUUGAUGAGUAGCUGUGUGAGAAUCUUUGGACUUUCCAGUGACAGUGGAACUUGCACCACCAUGACCAGCUGCAGUGGCUUGGCCCAUGUGAUCUGAUGGCUUUAGCGCCUCGUCGUUGCCGACUAUUAUCACCUCCAUCUUGAUAAAGAUUCAUUAAAAAUUUAAGCUAAAAUAUAGCUCAUUACUGUGUUUGUGGUUUUAUUUUUCUCUAUGAUUGCUGGAAUAUAAUUAAGUUUUUGGGCAAUGUUAAUUAAGGUUAUAAAUUUUACUGUUUUAA